rnacentral:rRNA from 1 species
ACGGAGUUAGUUGGUAGCACAAAGGGCUCAUAGUUUGUGGUUCAUAGCGGGGGAGGGUUUUCAGCUAUGAGCUGUCAGCUAAGAGCGAUGAGCUUUGUGUGCUAUCAACUAACUUAGUGGCGGACGGGUGAGUAACACGUAGGUAACCUACCUUCGAGACGGGGGCAACUCAGGGAAACUUGAGCUAAUACCCGGUAAGACCACGUGCUGGGAGGCAUGAGGUAAAAGGGAGCAAUCCGCUUGGAGACGGGCCUGCGGCCUAUCAGGUAGUUGGUGGGGUAAGAGCUUACCAAGCCAAAGACGGGUAGCCGGGCUGAGAGGUUGAACGGCCACACUGGAACUGAGAUACGGUCCAGACUCCUACGGGAGGCAGCAGUGGGGAAUAUUGCACAAUGGGCGAAAGCCUGAUGCAGCGACGCCGCGUGGAGGAUGAAGGUCUUCGGGUUGUAAACUCCUUUUCUUGGGAAAGAUGAUGACGGUACCCAAGGAAUAAGCCACGGCUAACUCUGUGCCAGCAGCCGCGGUAAGACAGAGGUGGCGAGCGUUGUUCGGAAUCACUGGGCUUAAAGGGCGAGUAGGCGGUGGAGCAAGUCUGGGGUGGAAUCCUAUGGCUUAACCAUAGAAUUGCCUUAGAAACUGUUUCACUUGAGUCAGUGAGGGGAGGGCGGAAUUCCUGGUGUAGCGGUGAAAUGCGUAGAUAUCAGGAGGAAGGCCUGUGGCGAAGGCGGCCCUCUGGCACUGCAC